rnacentral:rRNA from 1 species
GCGUUCUGUAAGCCUGUGAAGGUGGCCUGUGAGGGUUGCUGGAGGUAUCAGAAGUGCGAAUGCUGACAUAAGUAACGAUAAAGCGGGUGAAAAGCCCGCUCGCCGGAAGACCAAGGGUUCCUGUCCAACGUUAAUCGGGGCAGGGUGAGUCGACCCCUAAGGCGAGGCCGAAAGGCGUAGUCGAUGGGAAACGGGUUAAUAUUCCCGUACUUGGUGUUACUGCGAAGGGGGGACGGAGAAGGCUAUGUUGGCCGGGCGACGGUUGUCCCGGUUUAAGCGUGUAGGUGUGUGUUCCAGGUAAAUCCGGUUCACUUUAACACUGAGGCGUGACGACGAGGCACUACGGUGCUGAAGCAACAAAUGCCCUGCUUCCAGGAAAAGCCUCUAAGCAUCAGGUAACAUCAAAUCGUACCCCAAACCGACACAGGUGGUCAGGUAGAGAAUACCAAGGCGCUUGAGAGAACUCGGGUGAAGGAACUAGGCAAAAUGGUGCCGUAACUUCGGGAGAAGGCACGCUGACACGUAGGUGAAGUGAUUUACUCAUGGAGCUGAAGUCAGUCGAAGAUACCAGCUGGCUGCAACUGUUUAUUAAAAACACAGCACUGUGCAAACACGAAAGUGGACGUAUACGGUGUGACGCCUGCCCGGUGCCGGAAGGUUAAUUGAUGGGGUCAGCGCAAGCGAAGCUCCUGAUCGAAGCCCCGGUAAACGGCGGCCGUAACUAUAACGGUCCUAAGGUAGCGAAAUUCCUUGUCGGGUAAGUUCCGACCUGCACGAAUGGCGUAAUGAUGGCCAGGCUGUCUCCACCCGAGACUCAGUGAAAUUGAACUCGCUGUGAAGAUGCAGUGUACCCGCGGCAAGACGGAAAGACCCCGUGAACCUUUACUAUAGCUUGACACUGAACAUUGAGCCUUGAUGUGUAGGAUAGGUGGGAGGCUUUGAAGCGUGGACGCCAGUCUGCGUGGAGCCGACCUUGAAAUACCACCCUUUAAUGUUUGAUGUUCUAACGUGGACCCGUUACCCGGGUUGCGGACAGUGUCUGGUGGGUAGUUUGACUGGGGCGGUCUCCUCCUAAAGAGUAACGGAGGAGCACGAAGGUUGGCUAAUCCUGGUCGGACAUCAGGAGGUUAGUGCAAUGGCAUAAGCCAGCUUGACUGCGAGCGUGACGGCGCGAGCAGGUGCGAAAGCAGGUCAUAGUGAUCCGGUGGUUCUGAAUGGAAGGGCCAUCGCUCAACGGAUAAAAGGUACUCCGGGGAUAACAGGCUGAUACCGCCCAAGAGUUCAUAUCGACGGCGGUGUUUGGCACCUCGAUGUCGGCUCAUCACAUCCUGGGGCUGAAGUAGGUCCCAAGGGUAUGGCUGUUCGCCAUUUAAAGUGGUACGCGAGCUGGGUUUAGAACGUCGUGAGACAGUUCGGUCCCUAUCUGCCGUGGGCGCUGGAGAACUGAGGGGGGCUGCUCCUAGUACGAGAGGACCGGAGUGGACGCAUCACUGGUGUUCGGGUUGUCAUGCCAAUGGCACUGCCCGGUAGCUAAAUGCGGAAGAGAUAAGUGCUGAAAGCAUCUAAGCACGAAACUUGCCCCGAGAUGAGUUCUCCCUGAGACUUAGAGUCUCCUGAAGGAACGUUGAAGACGACGACGUUGAUAGGCCGGGUGUGUAAGCGCAGCGAUGCGUUGAGCUAACCGGUACUAAUGAACCGUGAGGCUUAACCUUACAACGCCGAAGCUGUU